AAUGAACGCUGGCGGCAUGCCUAACACAUGCAAGUCGAACGAAGGCUUCGGCCUUAGUGGCGCACGGGUGCGUAACGCGUGGGAAUCUGCCCUUGGGUUCGGAAUAACAGUUAGAAAUGACUGCUAAUACCGGAUGAUGUCGUAAGACCAAAGAUUUAUCGCCCAAGGAUGAGCCCGCGUAGGAUUAGCUAGUUGGUGAGGUAAAAGCUCACCAAGGCGACGAUCCUUAGCUGGUCUGAGAGGAUGAUCAGCCACACUGGGACUGAGACACGGCCCAGACUCCUACGGGAGGCAGCAGUGGGGAAUAUUGGACAAUGGGCGAAAGCCUGAUCCAGCAAUGCCGCGUGAGUGAUGAAGGCCUUAGGGUUGUAAAGCUCUUUUACCCGGGAUGAUAAUGACAGUACCGGGAGAAUAAGCUCCGGCUAACUUCGUGCCAGCCGCCGCGGUAAAAC
rnacentral:rRNA from 1 species